rnacentral:rRNA from 1 species
CCUACGGGUGGCAGCAGUAGGGAAUAUUGCUCAAUGGGGGAAACCCUGAAGCAGCCACGCCGCGUGGGGGAUGAAGGUUUUCGGGUUGUAAACUCCUUUUGUUGGGGAAGAUAGUGACGGUAUCUAACGAAUAAGCACCGGCUAACUCCGUGCCAGCAGCCACGGUCAUACGGAGGGUGCAAGCGUUACUCGGAAUGACUGGGCGUAAAGAGCGCGUAGGCGGGAUGGCAAGUCAGAUGUGAAAUCCUAGGGCUUAACCAGAGAACUGCAUUUGAAACUGUUAUUCUAGAGUAUUGGAGAGGUAGGUGGAAUUCGUGGUGUAGGGGUAAAAUCCGUAGAGAUCAAGAGGAAUACUCAUUGCGAAGGCGGCCUGCUAGACCAUAACUGACGCUGAUGCGCGAAAGCGUGGGGAGCAAACAGGAUUAGAUACCCUAGUAGUC